AGGACGAACGCUGGCGGCGUGCUUAACACAUGCAAGUCGAACGGUAAGGCCCCUUCGGGGGUACACGAGUGGCGAACGGGUGAGUAACACGUGAGCAACCUGCCCUUGACAUUGGAAUAACAGUUGGAAACAGCUGCUAAUACCGGGUAUGACCUUUCAUCGCAUGGUGGGGGGGUGAAAGCCUUGGCGGUCAAGGAUGGGCUCGCGGCCUAUCAGCUAGUUGGUGAGGUAAUGGCUCACCAAGGCUUCGACGGGUA
rnacentral:rRNA from 1 species